AUGCACCCGGAUAGGAGAGAAUGGAACGAGGCCUUGAUAAGGCAGCUAUUUUACCCCUUUGAUGCGGAUGAAAUAUGCAAAUUAAACAUCCCGGCCUCGGAGGUGGACGACCGCAUCGCUUGGCACUAUGAAAAGAAUGGAAUUUUUUCGGUGAGGAGUGCUUAUAAGCUUGCUGCGGCAAGUCUUGCCCAAUUGGCCCAGAACCCAUCGAGGUCGUCAAGGGAGCCAAAUGAUAGAAAUGUCUGGGACCUAAUUUGGAAGGCUAAAGUCCCUGCAAAAGUACGGAUAUUCGGUUGGAGAGUGGCCACUAAUACACUAGCCACCAAGGAAAAUAAGUGGAAAAGAAGCAUCGACUUGGAUGCUACAUGCAAUAUCUGUGGGAAUGGUGUUGAGAAUGAGCAUCAUGCUGUGGUCAUGUGCACAAAGAGUAGAGCCCUGAGAAAUGCAUUGAGGGGUGUAUGGAAUUUACCUGGGGAGGAAAAGUUUUGGUAUACGGGGAAUGAUUGGCUGCAGACCCUGCUGGACACAGAGAGCGAAAAGGGACGCGCAAGGAUCCUGAUGAUGCUCUGGAGAUGUUGGCAUCUCAGAGAAGACUGCAUACGACACAAUGGAAAAGAGUCAAUUAGCAGCUCGGUUCAGUUUCUGCUCAAAUAUGAGGAAGAACUUGUUAAUGCAGAGUUGCCUAGUACUGUGUCUGAUGGCAAGGAAAAGGUGAUUGAAAAGGGACCCUGUAGGCUGUAG
rnacentral:rRNA from 1 species